rnacentral:tRNA from 1 species
GGAGAGGUGUCCGAGUGGCUGAAGGAGCACGCUUGGAAAGCGUGUGUAGGGUUCCCCCUACCGCGGGUUCGAAUCCCGCUCUCUCCG